rnacentral:rRNA from 1 species
UACGUAGGGUGCAAGCGUUAAUCGGAAUUACUGGGCGUAAAGCGUGCGCAGGCGGUUUUGUAAGUCUGUCGUGAAAUCCCCGGGCUCAACCUGGGAAUGGCGAUGGAGACUGCAAGGCUAGAGUUUGGCAGAGGGGGUAGAAUUCCACGUGUAGCAGUGAAAUGCGUAGAUAUGUGGAGGAACACCGAUGGCGAAGGCAGCCCCUGGGUCAAAACUGACGCUCAUGCACGAAAGCGUGGGGAGCAAACAGG